GAUGAACGCUGGCGGCGUGCCUAAUACAUGCAAGUCGAGCGAAUGGAUUAAGAGCUUGCUCUUAUGAAGUUAGCGGCGGACGGGUGAGUAACACGUGGGUAACCUGCCCAUCAGACUGGGAUAACUUCGGGAAACCUGGGCUAAUACCGGAUAACAUUUUGAACCGCAUGGUUCGCAAUGGAAAGGCGGCUUCGGCUGUCACUUAGGGAUGGACCCACGUCGCAUUAGCGAGUUGGUGAGGUAACGGCUCACCAAGGCAACGAUGCGUAGCCGACCUGAGAGGGGGAUCGGCCACACUGGGACUGAGACACGGCCCAGACUCCUACGGGAGGCAGCAGUAGGGAAUCUUCCGCAAUGGACGAAAGUCUGACGGAGCAACGCCGCGUGAGUGAUGAAGGCUUUCGGGUCGUAAAACUCUGUUGUUAGGGAAGAACAAGUGCUAGUUGAAUAAGCUGGCACCUUGACGGUACCUAACCAGAAAGCCACGGCUAACUACGUGCCAGCAGCCGCCGUAA
rnacentral:rRNA from 1 species